CAUUGCUUAUCUCUAACCUUCAUCCAUCUCUAUAACCAUGCCACCAUAGCCAUUUUGUCCAAAGUCGUAACUAAUGUUCGAACUACAACCUGCAACCCCCAAACUUCGGGUUUGAGAAAUGAAAACCGGGAACUUUGAAGCUACACCCGCAACCCCAGAUCCAUCACAUUGCACAGCCAGCACUGGGAUCUUUGUCAUCCAUUGCAGGACUUUCAGAUCCACAGCAGGAAACAACCCAAAUUGCAGAUCUUAAGGUUGAACGAAAGGUAUAAAUUUUCAACAACGAUUUGGAUGAAUAGAUUAUGUGAAUCUGUGUCUUUGUAGUCAUUGUCGUUCAUGUGAUUUGGUCAGUGUGUGGCUGCUGUCUCGCAUCCAUAGGUUUGAAAGUCUUUAAUUUUUCUUCUAUGCAUGCUGCCCUGAAUAAUAUGAUGAAUGUUGAGCUAAACAAUGCACCAACUGGAUCCUUGGUUUGCAUGAACAAUUGUGCUCUCCUUUAUGUUGCUUGGAUCACACCCCCAGACUUGUAUUUAGUAAUAUUUUAAAUAAAAUGCGAGGGAGUGAUUGAGUGAGAGGGGGGCCAAGCAAUGCAAGGGGCUUUAUCACCAACCCCACUGUGAGUAUGUCUGGAACACUGCCUUUGCAUAUUUCUGCAUUCGAUUAAUUGUCUGGACUUUUCAUUGAUGAUGAAUGAUGAUGAAUGCUGAUGUGCUGAGUUGAAUUUGUAAAUGCUGCUGAAUGCAGGAUUCAGAUGAAUGUGUGCGCUUAGUCGAUAUUUAGGGCUUAAUUGCUUCCAAAUGCAACCUACAAAGAUCACACAAGAAAAAUCUAAUUAGAAUAAACCCAAAAUAAAAUAUUGAUCAACUAAAAAUAUGGCUAUUUUUGUGUUUUUCAAUUUUUUUUUUUUUGUGAUUUUUGUAAUUGAAAUAAAAGCAAGAAAACUAAAUUGAACGAAAUUAAAAAGAUAAGAGUUGGAAAAAAUUGGGUUGCCUCCCAAUUAACGCUUUAGUUAAUGUCUAUAGCUAGACUUAGAGGAAGGAAUUGAUGAUCGCGUCACUUGUUCUAUUAGAAUCAACCACUCUUUAACAUCAUCAUAUAACAACGGUAGGUACGGAUUGACUUGAUAUGUGCAAUUAAAUUCAGUAGUUGAGUUCUUAAUGUCCACCUUUCUAUGAGAGUGUAUCUUUGAAACCAAAUAAGUUCCCUUCCAUUGAUGCUUGUGUUUCCCUUGAAUUGACUUAAAUCUAAUAUUUAAUAGCCACAAUUUCUACACUGGACAAAGUUCUCUAUGAAGAAUAGGACUACCAUUAAACUUUUUCUUCAUUCCCUUGUAGAUCUUAGCUUGCCUGUAGGACUCACUUAGAUUUUCUUUAAAUUUGAAUGCUUGUACUGCUAGAUUGUCCAAUUCAGCAACAUCAAUUGUAUCAGUAGUCAUCUACCAUGUAUCCAAUAGUGUGUUAGAGAGCUGAUCAUGCGACAUAUUAGAUGUUAAAUUUGUGUGAACCUGCCCUAACAUAUUAACACUCAUGUCUUCCUGCAAGCUUUGUGGGAAAGGUUUUGGUGGCACAUGAACUUGGCUAGCUAAAGGAUCUGGGAGAAUUUUUGGAUCAUCAUGUGCUGCUUCCCUUUGGGCGUAAGCAAGUGGCAAAUUUCUCCUCAGUUCCUGCACCAAUCUUCCCUUCAUCAUUAAAGCUCUUCCCACAGUUUAAUGCUUGAAUCAGAAAUCCUUGAUUGGUUAUUUCAAUGUACAACUCAAUUGAUUCCAACAAUUUAGAGAGCUUGUCCUCUAUCGGAAGCUCUUGUGGCACAUUAAACUGCUCAAAAAAUUGCUCAAGAUGCUCUUUCAAGUUUGGAUUGUAGGAUUCUGAACAAGGAUUGUUCCAAUGCUUUUUUGAGUUGUUCCUCAUAUUAAUAUGCGUUCCCGUUUCUACUAAUGAAACCCAAAGAGAUGGUCCACCGGGUGUUAGAUUGAA